rnacentral:rRNA from 1 species
AGCAGUCGCCGCGGUAAUACGUAGGGUGCAAGCGUUAAUCGGAAUUACUGGGCGUAAGCGUGCGCAGGCGGUUAUAUAAGACAGAUGUGAAAUCCCCGGGCUCAACCUGGGAACUGCAUUUGUGACUGUAUAGCUAGAGUACGGCAGAGGGGGAUGGAAUUCCGCGUGUAGCAGUGAAAUGCGUAGAUAUGCGGAGGAACACCGAUGGCGAAGGCAAUCCCCUGGGCCUGUACUGACGCUCAUGCACGAAAGCGUGGGGAGCAAACAGGAUUAGAUACCCCAGUAGUCCCUGUCUCUUAUACA